rnacentral:miRNA from 1 species
GUUUCAGUCCCACAUAAGGGCAUUCAUCAGGAUCAUAGAUACCAUAGAUAUCUAUGAUCCUGAUGAAAGUACUUAUGUGGGACUGAAACGUUGAUCC